UAUCUCAAAUAUCCAAUUGAGUUUACGGUAGGUUAGUCAUAAUCGUCAAUAGCUUCAAAUCCCUUCAAUCCCCAACCUAAAUUCUAAAUCAAAACCCUCCGAUUUUCCUUCAGAAUGCAUCAUUUACCCAAUAAUCCCAAUCCCCAAUUCCUCAAUUCCACAAUACAAACCCUAGCAAACCCAGAAGCUUCCAUGGGCACGAUUAGGUUUUUAAAGCAAACCCUAAAACCCUCCAUCUCAAAAUCCCCAAUCUCCUCCCAAACCACCAGUUCCACCUCUCUCACCAACACAGCAAAUUGGGUCCCAUGAGUUCAAGAUCAGUGGCUAUGUGUUGUCAAAAAGGAAUGGGAAUUGAUAGACUCCACGGCACGCUUGCGUGAGGUGGUCGCCCUCCCGAUCGUUUUUAGCACAGUUGUUGGGCGAAUUGCUUGCAACACCUUAACCCCUCGCCUAUAUGUAGACGGUAAUCUUGGCACAAUUGUUCGCGUUCGGAAUUCUGCGUUGAAUGGACACCAACGACACCUUGACCCCUCGCUUAUAUUGAAGCGGUAAUCUCGGUACAAUCGACGAUUGAUGCGGUAGAAGACGCCACACACAACUAUGAAUUGUUGUAUGAUAAGUCAAAUUGAAUCUCAAAGAAAUAACUAAGAAAAAUACUUAGGAAUUCUUCAAAGAGCCAAAAGAAGAGAAUAACCUCAAAAAUAUAUUGAAUAAUGAAUAAUGUGUUUGAUUACAUAACUUGAACCUCUAUUUAUACUACUCAAAACAAUCCAAAUCCUAAUAGGAAUUUAUAAACUAUAACCCUAAUUUCUAUAAGGAAAUAGAAAUUAAUUUGGAAAAAAAUCCUAAUUAUAAUAAAUUUUAAAAUUAAUUCUAAACCCCAAAGAUUUUUCAGUCGUGUGCCAAUUAUUAUGAUAUUUUCCAAGUUGCGUUAGGAAUUGUGUCAAAGCUGAUAUUCUGUUAUAAGCCAAUCCGUGUACUGCUAGGAAACUAAAUAAUCCAGCUUGAUGAUGGUAACGUGGCCCACGAAGACAAUAAGUUGUUGACCCAUGCAUUACAAGCUGCUGAUCUCCUUGAUUGCUAGCCCACAUGUGACAUAUCCUAUAUGAAUAUUAGUAAUAUAAUUAAAACUAAUCCGGCCCACAUCUGCUAAAUUGAUUUUGUCCUUAAUUGUGAGAUUGGACUUUAAUUUGGGCUUGUAUUAAAUGGACCCAAAUUUGUGUCUCAUCCUUCCUUGCGUUAUCUUCAGCCCAAACAUCUUGGAUCAAUCCGUUGAGACUUUGUUUGAACCUCUUUGUCCUAGCCUUGCUUGAUCCCCACGUCCCUUUAGUCUUGUUUGACUCCACGCAUGCCAUGUCCUCAUCAUUCCUUUCCUCUUGAAAAGGAUUUUUCCUCAAAUCGUCACCUACAUCAAACGGACUUAGAUCAGCAACAUUAAAUGUAGCACUAACAUUAUACUCACCUGGCAAAUCCAAUUUAUAGGCAUUGUCAUUGAUACGCUCGAGAACUUGAAAUGGACCAUCUCCCCUCGGAAGCAAUUUCGAGCAUCUUUGAAUGGGGAAUCUUUCUUUCCGCAUAUGUAACCACACCCAAUCUCCAGGCUCAAAGAUCACUUGAUGUCGUCCCUUGUUCGCGUGCUUAAUGUAUUGUUCCGUCCUCCAUUCAAUGUUUAGCCUGGCUCUUUCAUGAAUCUGCUUAACAAGAUCAACCUUUUUCGUUCCAUCCAUGUUAGUAUAUUCAGAAACAGGUAACGGUGAUAAAUCCAACGGUGUCAAAGGAUUAAAACCAUAUACAAUUUCAAAUGGAGAAAAAUUAGUAGCAGAAUGAACAGAACGGUUAUAUGCAAACUCAACAUGUGGUAAACAUUCUUCCCAUUGCUUGAUAUUCUUUUUAAUGAUAGCCCGUAAUAAUGCCGACAAAGUCCUAUUUACUACUUCAGUUUGACCGUCAGUUUGUGGAUGACAAGUAGUAGAAAAUAACAAUUUAGUACCCAAUUUACACCACAAAGUCUUCCAAAAGUAACUUAAGAACUUUGUAUCUCUAUCAGAAACAAUAGUUUUAGGCAUACCAUACAAACGCACAAUCUCUCUAAAGAACAAAUCAGCAACAUGAGAUGCAUCAUCAGUUUUAUGACAUGGAAUAAAAUGUGCCAUUUUUGAAAAUCUAUCCACGACCACAAUAUCGAAUCAUAACCAUUCUUAGACCUAGGUAAACCCAACACAAAGUCCAUAGAAAGAUCGAUCCAAGGUUCAUUAGGAAUAGGCAAUGGUGUAUACAAUCCAUGGGGUUGAACACGAGAUUUAGCUUGGCGACAAGUAAUACAUCUAUCACAUAUUCUUUCCACAUCUCGUUUCAUAUGAGGCCAAUAAAAAUGUUCUUUUAAAACAGCAAAAGUUUUGUCAACACCAAAAUGUCCCAUUAAACCGCCCCCAUGUGAUUCCCUAACCAACAACUCACGCAAAGAACAUGCAGGAAUACAUAGUUUAUUUUCUCGAAACAAGAAUCCAUCAAUUCUAAAGUAUUUACCCACAACAUUCUUUUCACAAGUUUUAAACUCUUCACCGAAAUCAAGGUCAUUAUCAUAUAACUCUUUAAUUCGUUCAAACCCAAGCAAUUUCGUAUCAAGAGUAUUUAACAAAACAUACCUGCAAGACAAAGCAUCUGCAACGACGUUCUCCUUACCUUGCUUAUAUCGAAUAACAUAUGGAAAUGUCUCGAUAAAUUCCAUCCAUCGUGCAUGUCUUUUGUUCAACUUGUGUUGACCCUUCAAAUAUUUCAACGAUUCAUGAUCAGUGUGGAUCACAAACUCCUUAGGCCACAAGUAAUGUUGCCAUGUCUCCAAAGCUCUAACCAAAGCGUACAUCUCUUUGUCAUAUGUAGGAUAGUUCAAAGCUGCCCCACUCAACUUUUCGCUAAAAUACGCCACUGGUUUCCCUUCUUGCAUCAACACAGCUCCAAUCCCUAAACCUGAAGCAUCACACUCAAUCUCAAAAGUUUUAGCAAAGUUAGGCAAAAUAAGUAAAGGAGCAUUUGUCAAUUUAUCCUUAAUCAAAUUAAAUGCUUUUUCCUGUUCGUCACCCCACUUAAAGCCCACACUUUUCUUGAUGACCUCGGUCAAUGGUGCUGUAAUCUCACUGAAAUUCCGAACAAAACGUCGGUAAAAACUUGCGAGUCCAUGAAAGCUUCGUACUUGACUCACAUUGGUUGGACUUAGCCAAUCCCGGAUCGCACGUAUUUUCUCCUCAUCAACUUGGACUCCCUGUGAACUCACAACAAAGUCAAGAAAAACAAUUCUAUCCGAACAAAACAUGCAUAUCUCCAUGUUAGCAAAUAACUUUUCUUUCCUAAGUACAUCUAAAUCAGAUUUUAAAUGCAAUGCAUGAUCUUCGAAGUUUUUGCUAUAAAUCAAGAUAUCAUCAAAAUAAACUACGACAAAUUUUCCAAUGAAUGGACGCAAAACAUGGUUCAUUAAUCUCAUGAAAGUGCUCGGUGCAUUAGUUAAACCAAAAGGUAAUACUAACCAUUCAUAAAGACCGUAUUUAGUUUUAAACGCUAUUUUCCAUUCAUCACCCUCUUGCAUUCUAAUUUGAUGAUAACCACUUUUUAAAUCAAUUUUUGAAAAUAUGCAAGACCCAUGUAAUUCAUCUAACAUGUCAUCUAAACGAGGAAUGGGAUGUCGAUAUUUUACCGUAAUGUUAUUUACCGCUCGACAAUCGAUGCACAUCCUCCAUUUUCCAUCCUUUUUCGGAACUAGGAUCACCGGAACUGCACAUGGGCUCAUACUUUCUCUCACGAAUCCUUUCUCCAUCAGCUCGUCAACUUGCCUUUGUAACUCCUUCAUCUCCUCGGGAUUACUCCGAUAAGCUGGACGGUUUGGAAUCGUCGCACCGGGAACAAAAUCAAUUUGAUGCUCAAUUCCCCGAAUAGGUGGUAGUCCAUGAGGAAGCUCCUCGGGAAAUACAUCUUUGAAUUCUUGUAAGAGAUAUGAAACAACACUAGGCAAAGAAUUAUUAGCGUUAGUAUUCAAAAGCGCCUCUUUAUACCAAAGUAAAAUCAUAGGCUGUUUAGAAAUCAAAGCUCUUCUCACAUCACUCUUUUUUGCCAGUAUAUUUAUUUUUUUCUCUUCUUUCUUUUUCUCUCUUUUUUUCUUCUUGAUUUUUCUUUUCUUCACUCUCUUUUCUUUGUACAUUAUUUUUCUACAAAUGAAUUUGAUCUUCAUGUACUUGUUGUGGUGACAAAGGACGCAAAGAGAUCUUCUUCUUGUCGUGAACGAAUGAAUAUACGUUGGUAAACCCGUCAUGUUGAACCCUCCUAUCAAACUGCCAUGGUCUACCCAACAAUAUAUGUCCUGCCUGCAUGGGCACCACAUCACACAAUACCUCAUCAAUAUACCGACCAAUAGCAAAUGGAACUAACACCUGUUUGGUUACUUUAAUGUCUGCAUUAUCAUUGAGCCACUGCAAACGAUACGGUUGCGGAUGUUUGGUAGUAGUUAACCCCUAUUUCUCCACCAUCGUAGUGCUUGCCACAUUUGUACAGCUGCCUCCAUCUAUAACUACGCAACAAAUUUUCCCAUUCACAAGACAUCGAGUAUGAAAUAGAUUUUUCCGCUGUUCACUGCUCUCCUCCUUAACCUGUGUACUAAGUGCUCUUCUUGUAACUAGAAUUUCACCAUGUAUUGCAUCUUCACCUAUCUCCUCUAAUGGUGGCAUAGAAUCGGUGUCGCUAUCUUCCCCCUCGGUCUCCACAUCUCCAUUGUCAAGUAACAACAUUUUCCUCUGAUUUGGACAUUGGCUAGAAAUAUGUCCCCUGCCUUGACACUUAAAACAUACAAUAUCUCGAUUACGACCAAAAGAAGGUUGUUCAGUUUUACCUUGAGUUUCUCGGCUAGUUGAUCCUUGCUUGGGUUCCACCUUUGGCUUGAACGCAGCUGUCUUUUCCUCUCGCUUUGCCAAAUUGGGUCUCCAUGAUGAACUAGCAUUAGAUUGUCCUCGUUGUCCUCCUCGCCUCUUGAGUUGUUUCUCUAUCUUAGUAGCCAUAUGGACCAGUUCCUCCAACUCUAAAUAAUGUUGUCGUUCAACCAAGUCUGCAAUCUCCCAGUUCAAUCCUGCCGAGAACCUAGCCAUCGAUGUUUCAUUGUCCUCAAUCAAGUUAGCCCGAUCCUUCAACAUCUCCAUCUCCCUGUAAUAUUCAUCCACACUCCGACUUCCCUGUUUAAGAGUUUGUAAAUUACGAAUGAUCUCCCGUUGAUAGUAUGCUGGUACAAACCUCUUUUUCAUUAUAGCUUUCAUCUCCGCCCACGUUGUAAUCGGCCGCUCGUCACACCUUCUCCGAUUAGCUGUCAACUGAUCCCACCAUAUCAAUGCAUAUCCAGAAAAUUCCGUAAUGGCCAGUUUGACUUUCUUGAGGUCUGAAUAGUUGUGACAGUCAAAGAUUCGCUCCAUCUUGGUUACCCAAUCUAAAUAAGCCUUAGGAUCACCCGUGCCUUGGAAAGCUGGAAUCUUCAUUUUUAUGCUAUCCAAAUUGCCAUCUUCUCUGUCCUGACCUCUUCUUUCCCUAGCACCUCCGUGUCUUUGAUGUCGGAAAUUAGAUUCACGAUCUUCCGCUGCACUACUGUCCUUACCGUAAGGGUCUUCCUUUCUUGCGUCAAUUUGUUGUGUCCUCGUCUUGUUUUGAAUCCCAAUAGUGUUUUGGGAUAGCUCAGCCAUAAACACCCUCAUCUCUUCUAAUUGUUCUUGCAUUUGCUCUAUAGUCUUUCUCAAUCUUCGAUCCCAUUCUUUAUGCAUUGCUUCCAUCUGGAAUUUUAAUUCAGCUUUUGAAGGUUGUUCCUCAUGAGUUCCUUUAUCCUUUGAGCUAGACAUAUUUCCUGCAAAAUAAGGGUUAGUAGAAAACAGUUUCCUCACCACUCCCUUACGUGUUUCGCUCGAAUCAAUGGUUCACUCGUGUAUACUCUCAAUAAAUUGGCUUUUACCCUCGAUUAAUCUCACCACUAAGCCUUUUACCUCAAAUAUUCUCUCUAAUAGGUUCUUAUUGAAUUCCCUAGCAAAAUUCUUGAUUUUACUAAUCAAUUCAGAAUUACUUAUCACGAAACAAAAUUAUAGAUGGUGUAACUAUCAAAAUACCACAAAAUCACCGAUUGAUUGUCUUGUACUCCUCUGGUAUGCCUCAAAUUUGUAAUUUGUAGCUCCCCUACAUCUGAACCGAAUUCUUUCUGGUUAAAGAAUCUCUUUCUAGUUGCUCUGGAACAAUUAGGAGAUUCUCUAGAAGAAAUACGGGGUUCUGCUUCUGGCGGCAACAUGCUAUUGGGUGGUGAUCCCGCUUAUGGGGUCAAAUCAAUACGCUGUAUAUGAAAUCUUCGUUGGAAUUUGAUGGUUUGAUGGUGUGCUACAAGUUUGGUUAGCACAAUGAAAAUAGAAUAUGAUUUUUUUUUUCUUUCUUUUUUUUUUGCUCUUUUUUUUUGCUAUAUAUAUUUCGACAGAAAGUUAAAGAUAAGUAACUUGCUAGAAAUGCUUAGCUCUGAUACCAAAUGAUAGACUCCACGGCACGCUUGCGUGAGGUGGUCGCCGCCCCGAUCGUUUCUAGCACAGUUGUUGGGUGAAUUGCUUGCAACACCUUAACCCCUCGCCUAUAUGUAGACGGUAUUCUUGGCACAAUUGCUCGCGUUCCGAAUUCUGCGUUGAAUGGACACCAACGACACCUUGACCCCUCGCUUAUAUUGAAGAGGUAAUCUCGGUACAAUCGACGAUUGAUGCGGUAGAAGACGCCACACACAACUAUGAAUUGUUGUAUGAUAAGUCAAAUUGAAUCUCAAAGAAAUAACUAAGAAAAAUACUUAGGAAUUCUUCAAAGAGCCAAAAGAAGAGAAUAACCUCAAAAAUAUAUUGAAUAAUGAAUAAUGUG
rnacentral:lncRNA from 1 species